rnacentral:rRNA from 1 species
GACGAACGCUGGCGGCGUGCUUAACACAUGCAAGUCGAACGGAAAGGCCCUGCUUUUGUGGGGUGCUCGAGUGGCGAACGGGUGAGUAACAAGUGAGUAACCUGCCCUUGACUUUGGGAUAACUUCAGGAAACUGGGGCUAAUACCGGAUAGGAGCUCCUGCUGCACGGUGGGGGUUGGAAAGUUUCGGCGGUUGGGGAUGGACUCGCGGCUUAUCAGCUCGUUGGUGGGGUAGUGGCUUACCAAGGGUUUGCCGGGUAGCCGGCCUGAGAGGGUGACCGGCCACCUUGCGACUGCGAUACGGCCCAGACUCCUACGGGAGGCAGCAGUGGGGAAUAUUGCACAAUGGGCCGAAGCCUGAUGCAACAACGCCGCGUGCGGGAUGACGGCCUUCGGGUUGUAAACCGCUUUCGCCUGUGACGAAGCGUGAGUGACGGUAAUGGGUAAAGAAGCACCGGCUAACUACGUG